rnacentral:misc_RNA from 1 species
AAGUCGUAACAAGGUUUCCGUAGGUGAACCUGCGGAAGGAUCAUUAACACGUAUCCAACGUUAAACAACCCUGUGAACCUUGAACGUGCUCUCGCACACGCUCUAGCAGCAAUCCCUGGUAAAUCAUUGUUGACCAGCUAUUGAGUCAGGGACCUCUGCUUUAAAACGAUGCGAUACGAGCGCCAGAGUAAGUGCGGCCUGGCAUCCUAGCAAUCUGUCAGUGGUUGCGCAAGGAUGGCGCAGUAAACGAUCGCUGUAGGCCCACACUUCGGCACCUAACGCCCCAUGUUUCGUACCCGGUGCGCGGAAACAACCGCACCACAAACUCGAACAACUGUUAACAAUGGAUAUCUUGGUUCUC